rnacentral:rRNA from 1 species
GCUUGUUGGUAGGGUAACGGCCUACCAAGGCUACGAUCAGUAGGGGUUCUGAGAGGAUUAACCCCCACACUGGUACUGAGACACGGACCAGACUCCUACGGGAGGCAGCAGUGAGGAAUAUUGGUCAAUGGGCGGAAGCCUGAACCAGCCAUCCCGCGUGAAGGAAGACAGCCUUACGGGUUGUAAACUUCUUUUCUGUCAGAAGAAUAAGCUUGUCGAGACGAGUGAUGCCGGUAUGACAGGAAUAAGCAUCGGCUAACUCCGUGCCAGCAGCCGCGGUAAUACGGAGGAUGCAAGCGUUAUCCGGAUUUAUUGGGUUUAAAGGGUGCGCAGGUUGUUUGAUAAGUCAGUGGUGAAAGUCUGUCGCUUAACGGUAGGAUUGCCAUUGAUACUGUUGGACUUGAAUAUGGAUGAGGUAGGCGGAAUGUGUAGUGUAGCGGUGAAAUGCAUAGAUAUUACACAGAACACCGAUUGCGAAGGCAGCUUACUAAUCCAUCAUUGACGCUGAGGCACGAAAGCGUGGGGAUCAAACAGGAUUAGAUACCCUGGUAGUCCACGCCGUAAACGAUGAUCACUCGCUGUUUGCGAUAUACAGUAAGCGGCUAA